CUUUUGUAUACCAAUCUUGGUUUAGUAUUCUUUUCUCUCAUUUUGCACAUUCAUCUCUCUGUCUGCGUGUUUGUUCUCUGUCUUAAGAUCGAUUAACUUUUUUUUUUUUUUUUUUUGGGAGUUUUUUGUAUGGCUUUUUUUUUUUUCUUUUUGUUUUCCAGGUUAGACAUCUAAUGCUCUUUUGUAUACCAAUCUUGGUUUAGUUUUCCUUUCUCUCAUUUUGCACAUUCAUCUCUCUGUGUGCCUAUUUGUUCUCUGUCUUAAGGUCCAUUAUUAUUAUUUUUUUUGGGGUUUUUUGUAUGCCUUUUUUUUUUUUCCAGGUUAUAGAUCUAAUGCUCUUUUGUAUACCAAUUUUGGUUUUGUUUUUCUUGGAAAAUUGUUUUUAUCUGAUUGUGGAUUCGUGGGUUUUAAUUUCUAUCGUUUGUUGCAGGUUGCAAAGCAGGAAGUUCUCACCUGAAGCUUCAGUUUAAGGUACUGUUAUUAUUAUUUUUAGUUCUUAGAAUUUAAUGUUUUGAACUGAUAUGAUAAUUUGGUUGUGAAAUGUGGGAUUUGUGUUCGCCUUCUGUUGCGUAUGUGAUGUUCUCUAUUUUUAUUACUGGGUGGAGAUUCCAUGUAUUGCGGAUGUUUUUGGAAAUACAAAAUUUUUUUUUUAGCACUAAAGUUAUAUUGGUUGUAAAAUGGUUUUGGAAGAUGAUUGUCUCAUUAUAUAAACUGCAUGUAUAAGGAUAUGGUGAGAAAACUAAUUAAACUGAAUCUUGGUGAUGAUUUUGUUCUUCGGAAGUUGUUAUAAAGCGAUUCAAUUUAGUUGCUAUUUCUGUUUAUGCUUCCAAACUCGAUUUUUGAGAGGUUUUUGGUCACCAAAUUUUUAUUGUUUUUAUGGUUCAUUUUUUAUUAAAGUUUUUCAAUUGUUUUAUAUUGGGUUGCAUAUACACUCCUCCCUCUGUUCUCUCACGCAUCUUCAGCUCUCUCUCUUUCACUCUUGAGGUACCUGCCGCUGUUGCCGAUCUGCAGGAGUUAUGGAGGAGUUGGGGAGGAAGAACAGAGUCUUCAGCAACUGAGCUUCAAAGCUACGUCGCUUUUGCCCUCUUAAUUUUCAUCGAGGAAGACGAUGGGCUGUAGAAAAAGAUGAGGACAUUGAGAUUGAGAUAGCUGACGUUCUUUAUGGUCUUAGACUCUUAGGAAGCAAACCCAAAUUGAAAAACUUCGAAGUUUGAAACUAAAGAAAGAAAUGAGUCGAGAAGAAGGUGGAGGCUGAAAGUCAAUGGACUCCCACAAGGAGAAAGUUGAAAAUCCAUUCGUAGUUUUUUUGGCGUGAUUUUAUCUGAAAGUUCUGGUUGCCUUGAAGGAUGCUCGAAUAGAUAUGUACCAAAGCAUGGGAGAUGCUCUUGCGCAGCAGUAAGGUGGCUUUGCAGCUCACAACACCUCUUCUUGACAACAACAACUUAUCCGGGUAUCUUCCGCCAUAGUUCUCAGAGUUGCCAAGCUUAUUAAUACUUCAAGUUGACAACAACUUUGGUGGGACUACAAUUCCAGAUUUGUAUAGCAACAUGUCUAAACUGUUCAAGUUGAGUUUGACGAACUUACAAUGGCCUAUUCCUGAUUUCAGUAGGAUUCCAAACCUCAGUUAUCCACAGGUUCGAGUUUAAUUGUGUAAAAAAUGGAGAGAUUGAUCACCGUCACUCAUAGCUGCGUUUCAGGAAACAAGCUCAUCUCUUGCCAAUUUUGUGUACCCACUUUUUAUUCAUGAUGGUUACUUCUCGCUUGCAACCCAAUUUGCUGCUAUAAAGUUUUGCGUUUUACAUUCUGUUCAUGCUUAAACCUCUUCCAACUUUGCAAUUCUGUGUAAAUCUUGCAGGUCAAGAUGGGACACCUAUCUGGGCAAUGUUGGGAUGUCUAGGCUUGGGUGGAGACGUGGACUUAUGGAAGUGUUGAAGUAGCUUAGCUCUAUCUCAAUAGCUCUCAUCUGUUCUGUUUAAGCUCAUUGGUGCCGACUCUGAGGUCAAUCAAGCAGAUAAGAUUCAGAAAGAAAACUCCACAUCUGUUGCCAGCAAUGCUCAUGGGGAACCAAAGCCUACAAAUCUGAAGCCUUUUAGGUUUAGAACUGAUGAAAGAGGGAUGUUUAAGGAAGCAACUUCGGA